rnacentral:lncRNA from 1 species
GAAUGGGAAUGGGAAUGGGAAUGGGAGGGUUAAGGGUCAAAUGUACAGAGAGACAGUAAAGGGUUCCAGAGAGCCAGAGUGUUAAGAGAAUGGGGGUGGUGUGGGAUGGAACGAAUCUCUAAGAAGUCCCAGAGACCUGGGAUGGAGGAGGCUCCUUGGAAUCAAUGCCGGUGACCUUAGCGGAGACACCUAAGAGUGUGGACAUGGUACCUGAAGAAGCCACCACCUAUAGCCAGGUAGGACCCCUAGUGGAUGGAUAAGGACACCAACCCACAAACAAACCUUUUGACCAAAAAUUUGUUCUGUCUAAAAGACAUGCAGGGGCAAACAUGGAGCAGAGAUUUAAGGAACUGCAAACCGAUCAUGGGCCUAAUUUGACACCCAUCUCAUGAGUAAGCACUAAUCCCUGACACUAUUAAUGAUACUCUGUUAUGCUUGCAGACAGGAGCCUAGCAUAAACUGCCCUCUGAGAGGCUCUACCCAGCAGCUGACUGAAACAGAUGCAGAUACCCACCACCAAGCAUUGGAUGGAGGUGCUCGGGCUUCCGCAGCUCACCACAAUGGACAGCUGAGAGAUCAGAACCAAGAUGGUGAAUGACUGCCUGAAUGUUGGAUAGUGUCUUAGUUUUCUCAUCACUGCGACAAAACACCUCUCCUCCAAACACAACUGAAGGUCUGCAUUCUCCAUGUUCCUUUUCCAAAUGGGAGCACAAGCAGGAAGCAUCAUCAGCUUCGUUGCUGUGACUCUGCUGUGACUCUUCUCUCCAAGGACAGUGUGAGACAAACCUCAGCCCAGGAACAUGAACACAUUAAAAGAAAAGAAAAGAGAAGAGAAGAGAAGAGAAGAGAAGAGAAGAAAAGAAAAGAAAAGAAAAGAAAUGAUCCUGGAUGCAUCCACCAAGAGAUUUGCAAACUCAGGAUUAAGCUUAAAAACACUCACAAAAGGCAAAGCUUACAAGCUAAUGAGACAGCAGUCACAUGAAAUAAGUAGGUACAGGCAGUACAACAGAACUCAUCUGUUCACAGUCCUGGCAUAACCUAGCAUCGAGUUGGAAAAUGUAUAAUCUUAGAAUAUCUGGAGGUUCCGAAUGUAUCCUGAGCUGAAAGCACAACUUCAGGCUCAAGAAUGACAAUUUCAGAAAUGCACACAACUGGACAGUGAGCAUGCUCCGAAGUGCACACAACUGGACAGUGGGCAUGCUCAGAAGUGCACACAACUGGACAGUGAGCAAGCACAGCUCACCUUUAUUCCAUUUUUUUUCUGAGUCUAUGUG